rnacentral:rRNA from 1 species
GACGAACGCUGGCGGCGUGCUUAACACAUGCAAGUCGAACGGAAAGGCCCUGCUUUUGUGGGGUGCUCGAGUGGCGAACGGGUGAGUAACACGUGAGUAACCUGCCCUUGACUUUGGGAUAACUUCAGGAAACUGGGGCUAAUACCGGAUAGGAGCUCCUGCUGCAUGGUGGGGGUUGGAAAGUUUCGGCGGUUGGGGAUGGACUCGCGGCUUAUCAGCUUGUUGGUGGGGUAGUGGCUUACCAAGGCUUUGACGGGUAGCCGGCCUGAGAGGGUGACCGGCCAAAUUGGGACUGAGAUACGGCCCAGACUCCUACGGGAGGCAGCAGUGGGGAAUAUUGCACAAUGGGCGGAAGCCUGAUGAAGCAACGCCGCGUGCGGGAUGACGGCCUUCGGGUUGUAAACCGCUUUCGCCUGUGAGGAAGCGUGAGUGACGGUAAUGGGUAAAGAAGCACCGGCUAACUACGU